UACAGAGGUCUCAAGCGUUGUUCGGAAUCACUGGGCGUAAAGGGCGCGUAGGUGGCGUGGUAAGUCAGAUGUGAAAGCCCGAGGCUCAACCUCGGAAUUGCAUCCGAUACUACCAUGCUAGAGUACUGAAGAGGUGACUAGAAUUCUCGGUGUAGCAGUGAAAUGCGUAGAUAUCGAGAGGAAUACCAAAGGCGAAGGCAGGUCACUGGGCAGUUACUGACACUGAGGCACGAAGGCUAGGGGAGCAAACGGG
rnacentral:rRNA from 1 species